rnacentral:rRNA from 1 species
UGGGGAAUUUUGGACAAUGGGCGAAAGCCUGAUCCAGCAAUGCCGCGUGUGUGAAGAAGGCCUUCGGGUUGUAAAGCACUUUUGUCCGGAAAGAAAUGGCUCUGGUUAAUACAUGGGGUCGAUGACGGCACCGGAAGAAUAAGGACCGGCUAACUACGUGCCAGCAGCCGCGGUAAUACGUAGGGUCCAAGCGUUAAUCGGAAUUACUGGGCGUAAAGCGUGCGCGGGCGGUUGUGCAAGACCGAUGUGAAAUCCCCGAGCUUAACUUGGGAAUUGCAUUGGUGACUGCACGGCUAGAGUGUGUCAGAGGGGGGUAGAAUUCCACGUGUAGCAGUGAAAUGCGUAGAGAUGUGGAGGAAUACCGAUGGCGAAGGCAGCCCCCUGGGAUAACACUGACGCUCAUGCACGAAGGCGUGGGGAGCAAACAGG